ensembl:lncRNA
GAGAAUAUAUACCCAUCCUCACAGCAAAUAUGAGGAAUCUCCUGAUGUGAGCUGUGUUGAGAGGUUGUCUCUGUCUCAAUAAAAGUUCACUGAUUCCCCCAUCUGCUGCAGGUGUCCGGUUGUCUUCAUUCUCCGCCAGCCUGGUUAAGUCAAUUCCUCCUUAACAUCUAAAAGAACCUAUUUAAUGAAGGAAGACGGGUUCACUUUGUGUUUAAUAUUAUUCUAUUGCUGUUGUUUUUUUUAUAUCCUUCAAUUGGCGUCACGAACAGGAUCCGCUCCAGGUCAACUGGAACGGAUGGGAGGACAUCGGCCGUGGUCUGAGUGAACGGAGUUUGGACAAAAGCUGUGUGCACACAAAAACAAGGUUGUUGCUCUUUAACUCCUAGAACACGCCCUUGGCGAGGUGGGGGGAACUGGACCACCUUUCUGUGCCCCAUCAUCCUCUAUUAGACGACAUCCAAGCUAAGUAAACAUGUCUUGGCCCUUUCCCCCUGAAAUGACAGGCAGGCAAAGAUGUUGCGUCUUUGUUUGCUUCCUGGCCCUGGGUCUCAUUCCCAUUGGCAUAAUCCUGAUCUGUGAAGGGCCCCCGACACUUCUGACACCUUCAAGUUCAAAAGCUUCGCCCCCUUCUGACAGUCCCAAUCUGACAAAUGUAGCCCCUAGGGUCUUGCCCACCACUUCCUCUCCAGUUUUGCCCACGCCCGAUCCAUUUAGAAAGAAACGAGACACGGUUACCUCCUCGCCAACGGAUGAUGAAAACUCUGAUCGUGAGGGUGACGAACAUUAUCGUCUUUCUCUUGUUUAAAUGCUUCUAGAAUGGUUGUUUCUCUGUGGUGUUUUGUAUUAGGCUUGUUAUUAAUUGUUUCCCUCACCCACUUCCUCUUGAAGGAUAUAUCUGGUUGAACUGUGUCUGGUCGGGUUGUGAGGGUUAAGCGAUGUUCUCAGGGUCUCCGGACUUAAGCCUGAGCGAAUGUGUACUCCCACCACUGGAUAUAAAUUGUUUUUUUCCACACCCCUUCCUCACGUUUUACCAUAUUCACUUUUGAAUGUCCUUAGCAGUUACCGUUCUGUGUUUAUUUUACGAUUGAUUUAUUCUUUCACAUUUUCACGUUUAUAUCUCUCAUUAUUAUAGUAUACUCUGUACUCUCCACAUUUUUAUCAUUACUUAUGCUUUUUGGUUGCUGAGUUACAGGGACUGUUAAUUUUGUGUCACUACCCUGGUUGCACUAACUCGUUGUAUCCGUGUGUGCAGGACAGCUGUUACUGCUUUCAUCGGGAACCGAGACUGCUUGCAGCCGACCCCUGGGCAGGGUGGUGCCUGGACUCUUUUCUCCUCAUCUGCAAUGACAGAUAAAGACAAAUGAUAAGACCCGAGGAGUUUUUCGAGCCAGGCUUCGACACGUCUCUGUGUUCCUUUGAAUGUUACUUAUUUUUGUGUGUUGACCCAUUUAAGAUGGGUCAAAAGGGGGAUUUGAAGAAAAUAUAAUCUGAUCAAACAUUAUUCAGCUUUAAAUAUUGUUCAGCUUUAAAGUUACUGUGCAACUGUGUAAUAAAAAUAUGCGCUCACGACUUUGGCCUUGAGAGCGAUAAGAAGCGAUCGCCUCAUUCUGCAGGUGCAAGAUAUCUGCAAGCGAAGAGACUAGAACACCCAAGGCCGCUUUCCUUUUAUGGAGUUGUUUUUCUGCUAAUGCAGCACUGUCCUCACAACCCCCUCCUGUAAGUUUUAGAGAAUAUAUACCCAUCCUCACAGCAAAUAUGAGGAAUCUCCUGAUGUGAGCUGUGUUGAGAGGUUGUCUCUGUCUCAAUAAAAGUUCACUGAUUCCCCCAUCUGCUGCAGGUGUCCGGUUGUCUUCAUUCUCCGCCAGCCUGGUUAAGUCAAUUCCUCCUUAACAUCUAAAAGAACCUAUUUAAUGAAGGAAGACGGGUUCACUUUGUGUUUAAUAUUAUUCUAUUGCUGUUGUUUUUUUUAUAUCCUUCAAUACGUACGAUGGUCUUUCGU